UACAGAGGUCUCAAGCGUUGUUCGGAUUCAUUGGGCGUAGAGGGUGCGUAGGCGGCGCCGUAAGUCAGGUGUGAAAUUUCGGAGCUUAACUCCGAAACUGCAUUUGAUACUGCGGUGCUUGAGGACUGGAGAGGAGACUGGAAUUUACGGUGUAGCAGUGAAAUGCGUAGAGAUCGUAAGGAAGACCAGUGGCGAAGGCGGGUCUCUGGACAGUUCCUGACGCUGAGGCACGAAGGCCAGGGGAGCAAACGGG
rnacentral:rRNA from 1 species